rnacentral:rRNA from 1 species
GUUUGAUCCUGGCUCAGAUUGAACGCUGGCGGAAUGCUUUACACAUGCAAGUCGAACGGCAGCACGAGAGCUUGCUCUUGGGGGCGAGUGACGAACGGGUGAGUAAUAUAUCGGAACGUAUCCAAUAAUGGGGGAUAACUAAUCGAAAGGUUGGCUAAUACCGCAUACGCCCUACGGGGGAAAGCAGGGGAUCUUCGGACCUUGCGUUAAUGGAGCGGCUGAUAUCUGAUUAGCUAGUAGGUGAGGUAAAGGCUCACCUAGGCUUCGAUCAGUAGCUGGUCUGAGAGGACGACCAGCCACACUGGAACUGAGACACGGUCCAGACUCCUACGGGAGGCAGCAGUGGGGAAUUUUGGACAAUGGGGGCAACCCUGAUCCAGCCAUUCCGCGUGAGUGAAGAAGGCCUUCGGGUUGUAAAGCUCUUUCGCAAGGGAAGAAACGUUACGAGCGAAUAACUCGUGAUAAUGACGGUACCUUGAUAAGAAGCACCGGCUAACUACGUGCCAGCAGCCGCGGUAAUACGUAGGGUGCGAGCGUUAAUCGGAAUUACUGGGCGUAAAGCGUGCGCAGGCGGUUUUGUAAGUCAGAUGUGAAAUCCCCGAGCUCAACUUGGGAACUGCGUUUGAAACUACAAGGCUAGAGUAUGGUAGAGGGGGGUAGAAUUCCACGUGUAGCAGUGAAAUGCGUAGAGAUGUGGAGGAAUACCAAUGGCGAAGGCAGCCCCCUGGACUAAUACUGACGCUCAUGCACGAAAGCGUGGGGAGCAAACAGGAUUAGAUACCCUGGUAGUCCACGCCCUAAACGAUGUCUACUAGUUGUUGGGAGAGUAAAAUCUCUUAGUAACGCAGCUAACGCGUGAAGUAGACCGCCUGGGGAGUACGGUCGCAGAUUAAAACUCAAGGAAUUGACGGGGGCC